GCAUUAAUGGGGUAGUGGUAACCUGGGUCGUUGCCAUCAAAAAGGUGUCGAUUCGUCGAACUUACUCGACCCGCCGGGGGUUCGAUUCCCUCUUAAUACA